rnacentral:piRNA from 2 species
UCACAAUCUUAUAAGUGGAAUGGAAAAUGGU